CAUUACCGAGUUCAUGCCCUUACGGGUAGAUCUCCCACCCUAUGUUAUAUUACCUUUGUUGCUUUGGCGGGCCGACAGGCUUCGGUCAGUCUACCGGCUCCGGCUGGUAAGCGUCCGCCAGAGGACCCCAAACUCUGAAUUUUAGUGUCGUCUGAGUACUAUCUAAUAGUUAAAACUUUCAACAACGGAUCUCUUGGUUCUGGCAUCGAUGAAGAACGCAGCGAAAUGCGAUAAGUAAUGUGAAUUGCAGAAUUCAGUGAAUCAUCGAAUCUUUGAACGCACAUUGCGCCCCUUGGUAUUCCGAGGGGCAUGCCUGUUCGAGCGUCAUUACAACCCUCAAGCUCUGCUUGGUAUUGGGCUCCGCGGCUUACCCCGCGGGCCUUAAAAUCAGUGGCGGCGUCUUCAGGCUCUGAACGUAGUAAAUAUUCCUCGUUACGGAGUCCUGGCGGCGGUAGUCAUCAACCCCC
rnacentral:rRNA from 1 species